GUCGAGGUUUCCGAUUGGAUAACAACACAGAGAUGUCAGUAUAUAUUCAGGAAACUGCCGGGGUAUAUACGACGUUUUUAUCCCCAAUUGGAACCUCAAAAACGUCAUCAUAACACCGGUUACUAUGUGACGUAGUCAAAAGCUAUCAGACUGUCAGAGGCUCACAGAGGGAAAAUAAUGAUGUGCUUCAGUCAAUAAUACAUUUUUGAUACAAAAUCACGCAAUUUACACUUUUAAUACUUAAAUUUAAUGUUUAAAGUGUUAUUAUAAAUUAUUCCAUACACGAUAAAAUUAUGUUCACAGCAAAUUAGAAAAUCCUGCACGUAUGCCGAACAUAUCAGGUUGGGUUUUUCAAUAUAUAUGUGUUGUCAACAAAUACCUGCACUGGAAAAUAACAUUAAGUCAGGGGUAAUCCGUAAUAUAUGUGUAAUUCAGGUCUCAGAAAGGGUAUAUACUGUGACAUUCCCGGCUUAGGGCUUAUAUCCCCUUCGCUUCGCUCAGGGGAUAUAAACUCUAAGCCGGG
rnacentral:lncRNA from 1 species